CUGGGAACUAAGUCAGCUGCAGAAAGACAGUUUCAAUACCCCUGUGAUUUUACCCCCAGCCAAUCCAUUGUUUCAGUUCCCCAGCCUCUGUCUACCAAAGUACUGUUAAAAACCUAGCACUAUAUUCUCCUGUCCUUCUGCUUGUCUGACCGGGUGAUAAUUUAACUCUUUUUUUCCCUGUAAUACCUGCUCUUCUCAGUUCAUUGGUUUUUUUCAGGACAGGGGGAAGAAGACCCCAUUGGAUUUUAAGAUAGGGUGAUGGUUAAUACUGAAUGUCAAUUUGAUUGGAUUGAAGGAGGCAACGUAUUGAUCCUGGGUGUGUCUGUGAGGGUGUUGCCAAAGGAGAUUAACAUUUGAGUCAGUGGGCUGGGGAAGGCAGAGCCACCCUUAAUCUGGUGGGCACAAUCUAAUCAGCUACCAGCCUAGCCAGAGUAUAAAGCAGGCAGAGAAACGUGAAAAGGCUAGACUGUCUUAUCCUCCCAGCCUACAUCUUUCUCCCAGGCCAGAUGCUUCCUGCCCUCAAACAUUAGACUCCAAGUUCUUCAGCUUUGGGACUGGCUCCCUUUCUCCUCAGCUUGCAGACAGCCUACUGGGGGACCUUGUGAUCAUAAACAAAAGGCUCACCAAACACCCAGUAUGGAGAAGUCUGCAGCCCAUCGUAGCCUGCCCUCCUGGGGUGUGGCCUGAGGUGCCCUGUGUCCAAAGGAGAGAUGGGCAUUGCUCCAAUCUGGUGGGUGGGCUGGUGUGCCCUGGGAGCUUCUUAUCUGAAAUGCUGGUGAGGGGUUUUCACCCAGAAAGAGACUGGGUUUCUUUUUCCUCUUCGUCACUAAUGCACAUACCCUCUGUCUUGUGCAGAGUUCGUAUGGUCACACAGCGACAUUUCUGGAUUGUGCUGGCUUGAAUUUUGGCAGAGGGUCACUCUGUGCUUGGCAGGACCCCAGUGGUUGAAAAACAAGCUAAUUUAGGGCUUGUCUAGGUGGCCGGUGGAGACAGGUAGGGAGGCUUAGGGAAGCUUGGAGUUUCUGUGGGGGCUGACUCAUUCUGCCCUCGGUACCACAGAUUGACCUUUUCCCUCUGCUUUUUUUCUCCCUUUUCUAGCUGGAAAAACCCUAGGAAACCUAUUCUCAAGCGUCAUUGUGUUGAGUUCAGGGGCCAGGAGGGAGAGACCCUGGAUGGAGGCCAGUGGCCAGCCUGUGGGCAGAGCAGCUGGGAAGAAGGGGCAGAGAUUCCGCCAGCCCUCUCCGGGACUCUCAGCUACACUUCUGUCUCACAGAUCUGCUGGCCACCUGCCACCUCUAGUUCUCCUCACUCCUGCUGCUAGGGCAGAAAAUGAGAACCCCAGACUGGGACUCCAGGUGCGUUGUUUUGUACCUGUGGCUCUGGGGUGUUGCUGCUGUUGUCCUGUGCGGUGGUAGCUGCUGUGGCCACCCUACAGUCUAGCCACACAGGGUGCUGCCUGGUUCCUGUGGAUCAAGAUGUUCAAACUUCCGAGUACUUGACAUAGAAAAUAAGCUUUGAAGCCUGGGCAACAUGGAGAAACCUCGUCUCUGAACCAAACAAAUACAAAAAUUAGGCAGGUAUGGUGGUCCACAUCUGUAGUCCCAGCUGCUCGGGAGGCUGUAGUGGGAGGAUCGCUUGAGCCUGGGAAGUUGAAGCUGCAGUGACACGAGAUCAUGCCACAGCACUCCAGCCUGAGCGACACAGCCAGACCCUCUCUCAAAACAACAAAAAUACAUUUUGAAGUAUUUUUCAGUGUCAGGUAAGAACUGCCUGAGCUGCUGAUAUUGACAGUGAUGACUCCACAAGCUUCUGUGAACUCAAAGGGUUCUGUUUUCUUCUUCAAAUUCAUUGAAUGAAAAAGUCAUUUGCAAACUGAAAAAAAGGUUAUAUUUCUUUUUUAUUCAUCAGUUAAGUACUGUUGGAAACUUAUUAUUUACUCAUCUGUACAUGAGUCUGAAUCAUGAAGUUUAUUUGACUAACUGUAUUUUAAAUUGCUCACUGCAAAGUAACUUUAUUUUUGUUUUUUAAAAUGUGGUUCACUAGUAAUCAUGGUGUCAGUGGCUUUUGAACCAGAGUGACUCCAUUUUGAGUGAGGGCUAGAAAAGUAAGGCUGAGACUUGCUGGGCUGCAUUCCCAGAAAAUCAGUCAUUCCUAGCCUCUAGAUGUUUAUGGUAAAGGGAACAGAUUAAUAAUGUUUACUAAAACAGACCCAGACUUGGGAGUAUCCAGAUCUCCAGAUAUCUGGAGAACAAAGGCAUUCCUAAUUUUGCUUUAAAAAUAAUAAUAUUGAUUCCUGCAAAAGACAGUAAUUAAGAAAAUUAAUCCUUUAUCACAAACCCUUGAAGCAGAUCUAUUUUUAUCCUAUGUAUACUCCAGCAUUGUAUCCAGGGUGCAAGUGUUCCUCCUCUUACUUUCAGGAAGACCCUACUCUGUCUAUGGAGUAGCUGUCCUUUCACCGUUUUACUUUCUUGAUAAACUUGCUUUUACUUUGCACUGCAGACUCGCCCUCAAUUCUUUCUUGCUCUAAAUCCAAGAACCCUCUCUUGGGGUCUGGAUCUGGACCCCUGUACUGCAACAGUUACACAACAUAUCUGUUUAGAUGUAUAUCAUCAUGUUGUAUACCUUAAAUAUAUGCAAUCUUUGUCAAUUGAGUGUUCGAAAAUAAACGUCUUACUAUAUAUAAAACA
rnacentral:lncRNA from 13 species